UUGUAGCAAUACAACUGGCGCACGGCGCACGGGUGCGUAACACGUGGGUAACCUGCCCUUUGGUGGGGAAUAACUCCGCGAAAGCGGAGCUAAUUCCGCAUAAGAUCCGCAAGGAUGAAAGCCGCAAGGCGCCGAAGGAGGGGCCCGCGCCCGAUUAGCUAGUUGGUAGGGUAACGGCCUACCAGGGCUUUGAUCGGUAGCUGGUCUGAGAGGAUGAUCAGCCACACUGGAACUGAGACACGGUCCAGACUCCUACGGGAGGCAGCAGUGGGGAAUCUUGCACAAUGGGCGAAAGCCUGAUGCAGCGACGCCGCGUGGGGGAUGAAGCAUUUCGGUGUGUAAACCCCUUUCGAUCCGGACGAAACCCCGCAAGGGAUUGACGGUACGGAUAUAAGAAGCCCCGGCUAACUACGUGCCAGCAGCCGCGGUAAGACGUAGGGGGCCAGCGUUGUUCGGAAUUACUGGGUGUAAAGGGUUCGUAGGCGGUGCGGCAAGUUGGGAGUGAAAUCUCUGGGCUUAACCCAGAGGCUGCUUCCAAAACUGCUGUGCUUGAGUGUGGGAGAGGCGCGUGGAAUUGCAGGUGUAGCGGUGAAAUGCGUAGAUAUCUGCAGGAACACCCGUGGCGAAAGCGGCGCGCUGGACCACUACUGACGCUGAGGAACGAAAGCUAGGGGAGCAAACAGGAUUAGAUACCCUGGUAGUCCUAGCCCUAAACGAUCAGGACUUGGGGUGCCACCCGUUCGGGUGUCGUCCCGGAGCUAACGCGUUAAGUCCUGCACCUGGGGAGUACGGUCGCAAGACUGAAACUC
rnacentral:rRNA from 1 species